CCUACGGGGGGCAGCAGUGGGGAAUAUUGGACAAUGGGCGAAAGCCUGAUCCAGCCAUGCCGCGUGUGUGAAGAAGGCCUUCGGGUUGUAAAGCACUUUCAGUGGGGAAGAAAGCCUUGGGGCUAAUACCCUCGAGGAAGGACAUCACCCACAGAAGAAGCACCGGCUAACUCCGUGCCAGCAGCCGCGGUAAUACGGAGGGUGCGAGCGUUAAUCGGAAUUACUGGGCGUAAAGCGCGCGUAGGCGGUCUGAUAAGCCGGUUGUGAAAGCCCCGGGCUCAACCUGGGAACGGCAUCCGGAACUGUCAGGCUAGAGUGCGGGAGAGGAAGGUAGAAUUCCCGGUGUAGCGGUGAAAUGCGUAGAGAUCGGGAGGAAUACCAGUGGCGAAGGCGGCCUUCUGGACUGACACUGACGCUGAGGUGCGAAAGCGUGGGUAGCAAACAGGAUUAGAUACCCCGGUAGUC
rnacentral:rRNA from 1 species